GGUGUCACUUUCCUUAGAAAAUGAAAACAAACGAAUUCUCUUAAUUGUGAUUAGUGUUUUUCUUUGAAUAAUCAGUUAAUUCAGUGGAUUAAACAAGUGAAUUAGAAUUGAUAAUCUACUUCUAAUUCUAUUUAGCAACAAUUCUCUCAGUUUAUUUUCUACCUUUUUCUCUUCUAUUUUUUUUGUUCCUUCUCUGGAUCUUAGACUUUUUCGUUUUCCCUUUUCAACUUAUAUAUUGUCUAUUCGGUUAGCCUUGUUUUCUUCAUAGCGUGUUCCUUGACGUUGAUGAAUGUUCUCUUUUUCUCUCUUGUAAGAUUCAUUUUUUUUUUCCUUGUAAGGUAUAAGAAAAACGACUCUCAACUCUAUAAAAACGUGUCUUCUAAUCUUCUUCGCUUUUUCUUCAUCAUCCAUAAACUUCCUUCUUUUUCCCUUUUGUCUUGUUCUUUUUUCACCUUCAUUAUUUUAUAAAUAUGACUUGAGAAUAUUUUUCUUCCAUCUUUAUCUCUUUCUCUCUCUCUCUCCUUUUUUACCUCAUUUUACCACACUUUCUCUCCUCCCCCUCAUCCUCCUUGUUGAUCUUCUUUUCCCAAUACUAUCUCUCCAAGUCUUUACCUUGCUCACUUUCUUCAAUCAUCAUCAUCAUCAUCAUCAUCAUAAUCUUCUGACCUCAUCCUACUUCUAAACAACAACAACAACAACAACAGCAAAACAACCUCCCAUUUCCCUUCGAUAUGUUAUUUCCUGAAAAUGAUUUGGUGAAAGAUAUUAACAAAAGAGAAUCGCAACAACAAUAACAAGGCCGAAGUGUUACUUAUUUAUAUACAAAAGCCAUCCAUUAAAAAUUUAGGAAAAGGGAUAACAUAAGAUGACAGACACUUGUUACCGAGACAAAUACCCUUUCGACACACCAUAAAAAUUAACCUGUUUAUGAAUAGACAAUCACGUACAGAUAAUGGAAACAAGAUCUUGCAAUGAUUGGGACGAAGGAGAAACAAAAAACAGCCUGAAUAAGAUGAGGAAAUGAACCCACACACACUCACACAAACUCCAUUUAACUUUCUUCAAUGAACCAUUUUCUCAUGAUAAUCAAUCUUAAAUUAUUGUUUACACGGACAAUUAGGCAAAAUGGCUAAUGCAGGCAGACGAUGGAGAUGAAGAGGAGAGACCAAGGGCAAAGGACGAAAGCAAAGGAGGAAAAAGAGACACAAAAAAAGGACCAUGGAGAUGAGAAUCUCCAAUGAUGAGCCAAUAGAGUCAACACUUGAUUAGAAAGAACUAUGGCGACCAAAAAGAUUUAUCGAUUGAAAAUGUUGAUCACUAAUCAAAGAUUUCGAGAUGAUGAUAAAGCAGAAUAACAGAGUUUCUAGAGAAAAGGAGCAAAAGGAUUGGAAUAAUUUUUCAUCUGAAAGACAAAGAAGACAAAAUAAAAGCCAAAAAUGAUGAUGACGAGAAUAGAAAGAGAAUCAUUGAUGCAGGAUAAGAGAUUAAAGAGAAAGAGAAAGAGAAAGAGAUACAGAGAGAGAAGACACAGAUAACGACAAUUCUUGAGGAUGAUAAAAGAGAAAGAUAAUGUUCAGUGAGUAAGGAAACAUGGUUGUGCUCAAAGAAGCGUAUAAUUUAGUGUGGGUUGUCUGUCCAGUUCAGUUCACCUUAAAAUGUUUCCAGUGUCCAUUCAUCUUAUCAAACAUUUACUUCCAGAGGUAACAUUGAAACAGAACAACAAUGAAAUAGAUUACUACAAGUCAAGGUAAACAGCAAAGAAAGAGGAAAUAUCAUGUGGUGUCAAAAGUAAAACUACUACGAGAAGAUUAAAGGUGAACUCUCAAGAAUUGAAGAAGUCUGAAGAAAUUUAAUGAACCACCACCUCCCACAAAGAGAAAUGGAUUGAGAGAGAGAGAGAGAGAGGAACUUAUGGACUCCUUAAUAAUUUAUCUUCUUUCCUGUUGUUCAUUUUCCAUCAUCAUCAUCAACAUUAUUGCUCAUCCUCUUGCUCUCUUUUUAUUUUCAUCUAAUAACAUUUUUACUUGAACAAAACAAAAAUAUUAAGUCGAUUUUCCUAUAGAAUUAAAUUCUAUGUGAAAGCCUUAAGGUGAUGAUUAUGAUUAUGAUGAUUAUGCUGAGAGAGACAUAUUUCACACUUGAAGGCUUACAUAGGUUUGCCACGGUGUGGCGAGCAAAGUAAGAUGAUGAUUAUGAUGAUGGUGAAAAAAAAGAGGAGCCGCCAAUAGGAAUCAACUAGGGAAUGUUGAUGAUGAUGAAAAUGAUGAUGAAAAUGAUCAUCAUUGGUUUUUACUAACCAAAGAUAAGGUUUGGCACAAUAUCAUCUUUAUCUUCAUCAUCUUUUACCCUAUAUAGUGAAAAGAUGAAGAUGGAAAUGAAAUCAGGUUGAAUUUUUCUUCUCUCUCAUUCUCGCCAUUCAUCUUUACCCUUUUUACCCUUUACUUCACCUUUCAUGGACUUUAGGCUAUGGAGAUGAGGAUGAGGAUGAGGAUUCCACAGAAUUCUGGUUACCAGGGAAACCAUUUGAAAGUAAAAUGAUGAGAAAUAUUUUCUCUUGCAAAAUGUUAUGGUAAUUUCUUUAUUUCUCUUCCAUAUUCAACAUUUUUUAACUUCCUCAUUCUCAUCAUCAUCUUUAUCAUCAUUAAUUUUAUAUCAAGUAACCUAAACAAUUGAAAUAAUGAGAUCAACAUGAUAACCUCAGAAAUUUUAACUCUUAUUAAUCAACAUAAUCCUAAUUCAUUAAGCAUCUUCAAUAACCUAUUCUUAACCCUAAUAAUCAACUACUUGUCAUCCAAGAUGAUCAUCAUCAUCAUCGUAAAUAAGUUAACAAUUUACAUGUAAAAUUAAUGUAAACAUGAUUAAGAUUAUAUGUAAAUAUUAGAUUUGAAUCUCGAGAAAAAAAAACUUUUUCACUGAGUUCGUGUCACUUUUUAUUAUUAGAUUUAUGUUUUUUUUUCCUUAAUCAAAACCACAAGAAAUUUAAAUUACAAUCAACUUGCUGUUGAUUGUUAUGAUUUUUCAACACUCCUUUACUUAUAUAACCCUCACUACCUUGAAACUAAUUAAAUUAAACAAGAAUCAUCAUCAUCUUGAUGUCGGUGAUACUUAGAUUAGAUUAUGAUUGUUGUUGUAAAAUUAACAAUCAACAACUCAUGAUUUUUAUCAAUUUAACAAAAACACUAAUGAUUAUAAUAUUAACUGAUUUAAUUUAAUAUUCAUAUUAAGAUAUUAUCAACACCAUGUUGAUGAUAAUGAUGGUAAUCAUGAUAAUCAUGAUUAAAUGAUGAUCAUGAUGAUGAUGGUUUUACAAAGUUAAAAUUGUAAACUUUUGUCUUAUGGUUGUUAAUUCAACAUGAUACAAUUAAGAAGCAAAGUAAAGAUGAUUAAGAUUAAGAUGAUGAUGAUGAUGAUGAUAACCGUUAAUUAUUAAUUGUAAGCUUAUGAUAAAUAAUUUGAAUGUUAUAUUAAUAUGAAAAUUGUUGUUGAACAUGAAUCGGAAAUGAAAGCCUUUAAGGCAAGUAAGAGGAAACUGAUGACGGAAGAUGAUGAUGAUGAUAAGGAUGAUGAAGAUUGAAAGGUUGUGAGAGGGAGUGAGAGAGAGAGAGAGAGAGGAUGAAGGUGGAAUUAAAAAAGGUAAACACUCAGAAUUUGAAUGUUUCUCUAGUUAAAUAUAAAUCUAUUGUUAUUCGUAUGUAUUAUCUUUCCAGAAUCAUAUAUACACGAUAAUAGAAAAAAAAAGAAUAUUUUUUUUUCUGUUUGUUCGAUGAAAUAAUAACUUUUGCCUGAAGAACCGGAAGAAAAGGAGGAAAAAGAUGAUGAAGAGAAAGAUGAGAGGGAAGAAAAAAAUAUUCUAUUUAUCUUGUUUUCUUUUUUUUUCUCUUCAUCAUCCUCAUCAUCAUUGUAUUUCUUUUCAUCUCUGAUUCUGGUGUGAAUCUGAAAACUGAAGACCUUCAUGAAGGAAGAUGACACUUUCUUUAGCUGUUGAUUAUCUCGAUCAUCAUGAAAAUGAUAAUGAUGACAAAAGGUGUGAAGAGAACAAAAAAAAUGUAAUUCUUUUCAUCAUCAUCAUCACAUUUAUCUUCAUCUUCAUCUCAAGCUUCAUAUUUCAAAUCACUUUUUUUUGUUUAGGAAAUGAAAUGACAACUUUUAUCAUCUCCUACAAUCAGAGUAACUAUUUUAGAAUCAUCCUUUUUUUUGUUAUCAUCUUCAUCUUGAUCAUCAUCCUUUCACUCUCAUGGAUGAACAUGAAGGAGGAUGAAGAGUGACAUCAACAUACACCAAGUGAAUUGUUGACCUUUUUUGCAUGUUAUCAAUAUCAUCAUGAUCCGCAUCCUCAUCCUCUCAUCAUCAUCAUGAUCAUGUCCCUGUCAUGAAUGAAAAAUAUAUUUGUCCUCACAAUUGGUAAAUAAUAUUAUGUAUUUAAAACUAAUCAUGAUAAAGUCAAAACAAAUCAUGAGAUCAAUUGUCAACCAUCAUCAUCAUCAUCAUCAUCAUAAUAGUUAUCAUGUUAAAACCCAUAGGAAACUUUUUCCUCCAUGGUAUCAAGAGAUAAAAAAGUUUGUGAUUUUUUCAAAUGAAUCCUCCUGAAUUCAUGAUCCGAUUUCAUCCUUACAUCAUCAUGAUCAUCAUGAAGGGAUAAAACCUUUAUGAUGAUGAAAAACUUUUGACUAAAAUAUUUUUCACACAAAAAUAAUCUUCCAAUGUUGUAAAAAAAAACAUUAUCAUCAUUUGAACAUGUUGAAAACUCAGGUAUUAUCAUUAUGAUGAUUAUGAUUAUUACACUGUUGAAAUAAAUGUUACGCUAGAAUCAUCAUCAUCAUCAUCAAUUUGAGUAUUAUAUCAUGCAAGGUAACCCGAAAAUUGUCAAGAUGAUAAUGAUGAUGAUGAGAGAGAGAGAGACCAAGUUAUGUCUAAUCUAAGCUGACGCGGCGUGAAGAUAUAUAUUCAUUUUCUUUCAGGAUUUAUCCAUUUUCUUCAGGGGAUAAGAGAUGAUGAUGAAGAUGAGGAUGAAUAUAAUACUAUCAUUUUGAGGGUAGGUUAAAAUGUCACCCGUUAUCACUUGAGAACCGAGUCUUCCUCCUCCUUUUCCUCCUCAUCAUCAUCAUCCUCCCACUAUCAACCUUCAUCCCUCAUCUUUGGAUGGGUAACAUUAUAUUCUAGGAAAAAUAGAGAUAAAAAUAAAACUAUCAAAAGAAUAACUUAAAACUAACCCCACUCCCACCUUCCACCUCCCUCUCAUUCAUCCUUCUAUUGUCAUUGUUACUUUUAUCUUUCCACCAGCAUCUCUAAACCCACCCCACUCCCUUCAACCAACAUUCAUGUUCAAUUUCAAAUGAAUACAUAUGAAGAUAUGAAUUGAUGAUAUGAAUAAUAUUUUUUCCUUCUCGAUUUCAAUCAAUAUUAUAUUUGAAUAUUUGAAAAUCAAGAAAUUGAUAUUCACUUUUUUUUCAUCUGAUCACAUCGAUUUGAUUACAUUGUUUUAAUUGUUGGCAAGAGAAAAGUUGAACUCUGUUGAUUGUUGAUGUUCCAGUUUUUCAACUACAUAUCCAAUCCUCUUGAGGUGUAAGUGGUAUUCAGUUAGAUGAACAAAAAAUCAGUGAAAUUAAUUGUUUAUCUUAACCAAUCACUUUGAGAAUCAACAAAACUUUAAUACCAACACAUCAAGUUUCAAUGUUCAUGAGUUUUUACAUGGGGAGAGAGGGUGAAAGUGGAAAAAUUUUCAAGAAUAAGAAACUUAUCUCAACAAUUCCCUGGACGAUUCUGUCUAUUCAAUCCGUUCUCUAUCUUCCCAUCCGUAUCAUCAUCAGUAAAAUGAUGAUGAGGAUGCUAAAGUUAUACUAAGGAUGAUGAGGAAGAAGAUAAAUUCUCAAACAAUAGUUAAUCUUAUUGGAUUUUUUUUUCUCUCUCUCUCUUUCUCCCAAGAUAAACACUUGAUAUUAUCAUGAAUCCUAUACGAUGAUGGUGGGAAACAUUUUCUCAUGAUGAUGAUGAUUUUAUCAUGAUAAAGGUGUUAUCAUGAUACAGAUUUUUGUUUAUCAUCAAGAUGAUGGUGAUGAUGAUGAUAAGUAAACAAGUGAACCUUAAAAGGAUAAGGAUUAUACCUUCGAGGCAGAUUCUUGAUAUUCAGUAUCAUCUAUUUAUUGUAAGAUUAUCAUUCUCAUCAUCAUGUAACAUUUUCUCUAUCAUGAUGAUUAUGGUGUAAGGAAAAUUAUUCUCAUGAGAUAAUUUCAUCUACAUUAUUUGUGAACAUUGUUGAAAUUGAGGUGAAAAAAAAAUCAGUAAACCUAAAAGUGACCCAAAUAUAUUUAACUCUUGUUUCAUAUUAACAUCAUCAUCAACAUGAUCCAUGGUGAUGAUGAUGAUAACUCCCUAGAUGAUGAUGACCAAAAGGAUGAUGAAUCCAUAAAAAGAUUGACCCUAAAAAGUAAAAACCUCAGAGGUACAUUACAUCAUCUGCAAGAAGAUGAAGGAGGAUGAGGAUGGGGAAGAAGGUGUUAUCAUCAUCAUCAUCAUCACCAUCUCGUUAAUCUUAAUCCGAAUCUCAAUCGAUUACGAGUUGAACCUUUGAACAAUAAUUUAUCCUGGAAAAUGUUGAUAUAAAAUGAAUGAUAUAUUAUCUGCUAUUGAUGAUUUUUCAUGAUUCAAAUCAUGAAAAAUUGAUUCAAUCAGAAUGAGAAAUGAAUGAACAAAAAAAUAAACGAUUCCUCAUCCUAAUGUUUAUCCAAUAAUUUUCAUCUUCCUCACUCAUGAUAUUAUUAUUAUUACUUUACAUUGAAUUACAUUGACUUUCACUGAAAGAUGAUGAUGAUGAUGAUGAUGAUGAUUAAAUGAUAAUAACGUUUCACCCUGAGGCAAAAUUACAUUUGAAUUCAACUUGAAUCACCACAAGAAUCAAAUCCCAACACAUAAAUGGUUAAUAAUACAAAUCAAAUGUUGAUACAUGAUGAGUGAUAAAAAAAACCGUUACCUCAAAUUUUAGGUUGAAAAGGAAGAAGAAAAAAAGUUUUGUUAAUUUAAUUGUGAAUCAAAUUGAUAAUGAUUACAAUCAACUGAUUCCUCUCUCUCUCUUUGGGUGAUGGUGUUGGGAGGGAUAAGGGAAAUAACUCCCACUCUGUUGUCCUUUGUACCUCGAGGGCAAAAUUGGUUAAAAUUGAACAAAGAACAAGAAAUUAACAAUGGUAACAAUUUGCCUCUCGUUAAUAGUGAUCAAGUUAAAUUGUUGGAAGGUGGAAAGUUUAAGAUUAAUCGAUUAAGGUGUAAUUUAAAUUGUCACCAAUCAAGAGUAUAAUUGGUUAUUCAUGAAGUUUCAGGUUUAGUUGGGAUCUUGUCAUUUUUUCCUCCUUGGGCUAAAAUAACAUUGGAAACUUUUUCCCUUCUCUCUCUCUCUCUCUCUCAGUGUCUCUCAUCAUCUUCAUCAUCUUCAUCUUCCUCAUCAUUCCCAUUGCUGAAUCUCAUGGGCAAAGGCAAUUGAAAUCAUGUUCAUGAUGAACUUUAUCUAUCUACUUUUUCCCCUUUUCUCUCAAUUUAAAUUGUUAAUGGUUUGUAAUUUGUGUUAGUUAACAGUUAGUGUAUUUAACUUUCAUAUCAAACUCUCUUGAUUGGUGAUGAUUAAAACGGUAAUUGCAAUUUACAUGUUAUAAAUAAAGUCUCUCUUUGAUUGUUGUAAUCAUUGUUUGAUUUUUCCAAGGGUUCAAUUGUUGUAUAUCAGGUUCAAAGGUUGAUUCAUACGUUAAUUGUUACGAUUAAGCUUAAAAAUUUGUGUGUCUCAGUUUGCUAAUCAAAUUAAUCAGUCAAUCAUCAGUAACAAAUUGAUAUUAAUUAUUGAAAAUUAUUGUUGAUUGUAAACCUUUUCAAUUUUUCUUGUUGAUAAUUGUUAUUUCCCUGAUUGAUUUUAUGCUCUUCCCUUGCAACGGAAAAGGAAAUGAUGAAAAUUUACUCACUAAGAGAGAGAGA